GAUGAACGCUGGCGGCGUGCCUAAUACAUGCAAGUCGAGCGAACAGAUAAGGAGCUUGCUCCUUUGACGUUAGCGGCGGACGGGUGAGUAACACGUGGGUAACCUACCUAUAAGACUGGGAUAACUUCGGGAAACCGGAGCUAAUACCGGAUAAUAUUUCGAACCGCAUGGUUCGAUAGUGAAAGAUGGUUUUGCUAUCACUUAUAGAUGGACCCGCGCCGUAUUAGCUAGUUGGUAAGGUAACGGCUUACCAAGGCUACGAUACGUAGCCGACCUGAGAGUGUGAUCGGCCACACUGGAACUGAGACACGGUCCAGACUCCUACGGGAGGCAGCAGUAUGGAAUCUUCCGCAAUGGGCGAAAGCCUGACGGAGCAACGCCGCGUGAGUGAUGAAGGUCUUCGGAUCGUAGAACUCUGUUAUUAGGGAAGAACAUACGUGUAAGUAACUGUGCACGUCUUGACGGUACCUAAUCAGAAAGCCACGGCUAACUACGUG
rnacentral:rRNA from 1 species